CCGUUGUACACACCGCCCGUCACACCAUGGAGCGGGUUCUGCCAGAAGUAGUUAGCCUAACCGCAAGGGAGGGCGAUUACCACGGCAGGGUUCGUGACUGGGGUG
rnacentral:rRNA from 1 species